rnacentral:rRNA from 1 species
AGAGUUUGAUCAUGGCUCAGAACGAACGCUGGCGGCAGGCUUAACACAUGCAAGUCGAACGCGUGUAGCAAUACACGAGUGGCGCACGGGUGAGUAACGCGUGGAUAUCUGCCUUUUGGUUCGGAAUAACCCCGGGAAACUGGGGCUAAUACCGGAUGGUUCCUUCGGGAUAAAGAUUUAUCGCCAAAAGAUGAGUCCGCGUCCGAUUAGCUAGUUGGUGAGGUAAUGGCUCACCAAGGCGACGAUCGGUAGCUGGUCUGAGAGGACGAUCAGCCACACUGGGACUGAGACACGGCCCCAGACUCCUACGGGAGGCAGCAGUGGGGAAUAUUGGACAAUGGGGGCAACCCUGAUCCAGCCAUGCCGCGUGAGUGAUGAAGGCCUUCGGGUUGUAAAGCUCUUUUGGCGGGGACGAUGAUGACGGUACCCGCAGAAUAAGCCCCGGCUAACUUCGUGCCAGCAGCCGCGGUAAGACGAAGGGGGCUAGCGUUGUUCGGAAUUACUGGGCGUAAAGCGCGUGUAGGCGGUUAUCCAAGUCGGGUGUGAAAGCCUUGAGCUCAACUCAAGAAAUGCACUCGGUACUGGGUGACUAGAGGACCGGAGAGGAUAGUGGAAUUCCCAGUGUAGUGGUGAAAUACGUAGAGAUUGGGAAGAACACCAGUGGCGAAGGCGGCUAUCUGGACGGUUUCUGACGCUAAGACGCGAAAGCGUGGGGAGCAAACAGGAUUAGAUACCCUAGUAGUCC